rnacentral:ncRNA from 1 species
UGCGAACCAUUUGCGGCUUCGAGAGCCGCUCAUCAGACACCACAAAAGGUGUUAGUAUAUGUUGACAGCAGGACGGUGGCCAUGGAAGUCGGAAUCCGCCAAGGACUGUGUAACAACUCACCUGCCGAAUGUACUAGCCCUGAAAAUGGAUGGCGCUCAAGCGUCUCACACAUACCUCGCCCUCAGGGUAGAAACGAUGCCCUGAGG